UAGUAGAGGUCAGAGGGACAGGCCGAUUUGAAUCGUCAUCUCUUAAUUGUCAUUGUAUUGGAUUGCAUUAAAUGUUUUGCCUCCCACAAUAAAAACUAAGCAUUUCAUAUCAUCUUACUAAGACAACAAGUGAUAUUUAUAUGCAUUUUAUGUAAGUAGUCAGUUAUGCAGUUACAUAGAACUCUGUUUUUGACCAUAUAAAUAUCAGCAACUUCACCAAAUUGUAUAUAUUUCCUCAGUUUGGGCUCAGUUUUUUUCCUCCUUGAUUAUAAGUUUCAUAUUUUCACUAUGUCCUACUAUAUGAGCCAUAAAAACCCCUAAUGUGUCGAAUAUGAUACAAAACAUAAAACACAUAUGCAAACUUUUUUAGAUUUUAUUUUAUAAUUUGUCUUAAUGUUCAAUCAACUGUUCCAUUUCAAAAAAAAAAAAAAGAUAACUAAUUGCAAUUAACUUUGCAAUAUUUUGUGUAGUAAUGAGGGAAUGGAGGAACCAGACCAAGAACCCGCCCAGGGACUUGCAAACGAGCCACAAGAUGAUGAUGCUCCUCCUCCUCAUCAUCAUCAUCAUCAUCAUCACCGAAGGGAACAGCAUAACCACGAUCCUUCUUUUAUUGGACAAGGGCAUCACCAAUGGCAUGGGGAACCCCAGAAUCAAUUUUCACCGUUUCACCAGAAGAACAACAUGACUUGGUUCGGGCCACCUGAGCACCAGUUCUUCCGUCCGCCCUUGAUUCCUCAUCCACCGCAGGGCGUGAGACCCUGUUUUCCCAACCAGAGCGUCAGAGGAUUGCACUUCGGACAUUAUCCACCUCCGCUUCCCUCCGAAAGGUUUUUCCAACCAUACCACAAUCCAGGCGCGCCUCCAGGGGGAUCCACGAGACCUCCAGGGCAUCACCGUAAACCUCGAUAUAGACACCGGAAAGGUCCGAAAGAUAGGACCCCUCGCUGAAACAAAGAGACUUCACAUUUUCAACCUAAACCGCUGGAGUGUGCUUUUUCUGAACACAAACUGCCAGUGCAGUGGUUGUGGAGGAACCGUGCUUUUUACUUUUUCUUCGAUGAGUUUGGUCUCCUGAAGAGGUUGACUGUUUUAUUAGACUCUGCUAGCUAAUAAUAAUAUUACUACUAAGU
ensembl:lncRNA